ACCCAUGUACCUACCUAACUAUCUACCUACCUACGUACCUAACUACCUAACUAUCUACCUACCUACCUACCUACCUACCUACCUACCUACCUAUCUACCUUCCUACCUACCUACCUACCUACCUACCUACCUAUGUACCUACAUACCUAACUAUCUACCUACGUACCUAACUACUUAACUAUCUACCUACCUACCUAUCUUCCUUCCUACCUACCUACCUACCUACGUACCUACAUACCUACCUAUCUACCUUCCUUCCUACCUACCUACCUACGUACCUACAUACCUAACUAUCUACCUACGUACCUACAUACCUAACUAUGUACCUACGUACCUACGUACGUACCUACCUACCUACCUACCUACCUACCUACCUACCUACCUAACUAUCUACCUACCUACCUAACUAUCUACCUACGUACCUACAUACCUAGCUAUCUACCUACGUACCUACGUACGUACCUACCUACCUACCUACCUACCUACCUAACUAUCUACCUACCUACCUACCUACCUACCUACCUACCUACCUACCUACCUACCUACCUUCCUUCCUUCCUUCCUACCUACCUACGAGGGAAGAAUCCAGAAGUGGAUCCAGAAGUGUUUAGCAGACAGAGCCGAGUGGAGAGCUGCUCUUCCCUGGACCGUUUCUCUCUUUUCCACCUAGAAAAGUGAAGAGGAACUUUAGUUGUCUGCCAGGUGUUCUCUAGUGGACCUGCCAGGUGUUCUCUAGUGGAACUGCUAGUGGACCUGCCAGGUGUUCUCUAGUGGACCUGCCAGGUGUCUCUAGUGGACCUGCCAGGUGUUCUCUAGUGGACCUGCCCUGCCAGGUGUUCUCUAGUGGACCUGCCAGGUGUUCUCUAGUGGACCUGCCAGGUGUUCUCUAGUGUACCUGCCAGGUGUUCUCUAGUGGACCUGCCAGGUGUUCUCUAGUGGACCUGCCAGUGGACCUGCCAGGUGAUCUCUAGUGGAGCUGCUAGUGGACCUGCCAGGUGUUCUCUAGUGGACUUGCUAGAGGACCUGCCAGGUGUAACUAGUGGACCUGCCAGGUGUGACUAGUGGACUUGCUAGAGGACCUGCCAGGUGUUCUCUAGUGGGCCUGCUAGUGGACCUGCCAGGCGAGACUAGUGGACCUGCCAGGUGUGACUAGUGGACCUGCCAGGUGUGACUAGUGGACCUGCCAGGUGUAACUAGUGGACCUGCCAGGUAUAACUAGUGGACCUGCCAGGUGUUCUCUAGUGGACCUGCUAGUGGACCUGCCAGGUGUUCUCUAGUGGACCUGCUAGUGGACCUGCCAGGUGUUCUCUAGUGGACCUGCUAGUGGACCUGCCAGGUGUUCUCUAGUGGACCUGCUAGUGGACCUGCCAGGUGUACUAGUGGACCUGCCAGGUGUUCUCUAGUGGACCUGCCAGGUGUUACUAGUGGACCUGCCAGGUGUAACUAAUGGACCUGCCAGGUGUAACUAGUGGACCUGCCAGGUGUGACUAGUGAACCUGCCAGGUGUAACUAGUGGACCUGCUAGUGGACCUGCCAGGUGUGACUAGUGGACCUGCCAGGUGUAACUAGUGGACCUGCUAGUGGACCUGCCAGGUGUUCUCUAGUGGACCUGCCAGGUGUUACUAGUGGACCUGCCAGGUGUUACUAGUGGACCUGCCAGGUGUAACUAAUGGACCUGCCAGGUGUUCUCUAGUGGACCUGCCAGGUGAAACUAGUGGACCUGCCAGAUGUAACUAUGACAGUCUCCAUCUAAAAGCCUCCAAGGUGCACGGACAGGAUUCUGCAUCGCUGCACAAGCCUGUAUGUCAUUGGUGUUGUGUUUUAAUUUAAUGUAUUUAUAUUCUUAUUAAAUUGUGAACAUA
ensembl:lncRNA